rnacentral:rRNA from 1 species
AUUGAACGCUGGCGGCAUGCUUUACACAUGCAAGUCGAACGGCAGCGCGGGGCAACCUGGCGGCGAGUGGCGAACGGGUGAGUAAUACAUCGGAACAUACCCUAGAGUGGGGGAUAACGUAGCGAAAGUUACGCUAAUACCGCAUACGCACUAAGGUGGAAAGUGGGGGAUUCGCAAGAACCUCAUGCUCAUGGAGUGGCCGAUAUCUGAUUAGCUAGUUGGUGAGGUAAAGGCUCACCAAGGCGACGAUCAGUAGCUGGUUUGAGAGAACGACCAGCCACACUGGAACUGAGACACGGUCCAGACUCCUACGGGAGGCAGCAGUGGGGAAUUUUGGACAAUGGGGGGCAACCCUGAUCCAGCAAUGCCGCGUGAGUGAAGAAGGCCUUCGGGUUGU